AGUGAACGCUGGCGGCAGGCCUAACACAUGCAAGUCGAACGGCAGCACAGUAAGAGCUUGCUCUUACGGGUGGCGAGUGGCGGACGGGUGAGGAAUACAUCGGAAUCUACUUUUUCGUGGGGGAUAACGUAGGGAAACUUACGCUAAUACCGCAUACGACCUACGGGUGAAAGCAGGGGAUCUUCGCACCUUGCGCGAUUGAAUGAGCCGAUGUCGGAUUAGCUAGUUGGCGGGGUAAAGGCCCACCAAGGCGACGAUCCGUAGCUGGUCUGAGAGGAUGAUCAGCCACACUGGAACUGAGACACGGUCCAGACUCCUACGGGAGGCAGCAGUGGGGAAUAUUGGACAAUGGUCGCAAGCCUGAUCCAGCCAUACCGCGUGGGUGAAGAAGGCCUUCGGGUUGUAAAGCCCUUUUGUUGGGAAAGAAAAGCAGCAGGUUAAUACCCCGCUGUUCUGACGGUACCCAAAGAAUAAGCACCGGCUAACUUCGUG
rnacentral:rRNA from 1 species